UGGGGAAUUUUGGACAAUGGGGGCAACCCUGAUCCAGCAAUGCCGCGUGUGUGAAGAAGGCCUUCGGGUUGUAAAGCACUUUUGUCCGGAAAGAAAACGUCGUGGUUAAUACCCGUGGCGGCUGACGGUACCGGAAGAAUAAGCACCGGCUAACUACGUGCCAGCAGCCGCGGUAAUACGUAGGGUGCAAGCGUUAAUCGGAAUUACUGGGCGUAAAGCGUGCGCAGGCGGUCCGCUAAGACAGAUGUGAAAUCCCCGGGCUUAACCUGGGAACUGCAUUUGUGACUGGCGGGCUAGAGUAUGGCAGAGGGGGGUAGAAUUCCACGUGUAGCAGUGAAAUGCGUAGAGAUGUGGAGGAAUACCGAUGGCGAAGGCAGCCCCCUGGGCCAAUACUGACGCUCAUGCACGAAAGCGUGGGGAGCAAACAGGAUUAGAUACCCUGGUAGUCCACGCCCUAAACGAUGUCAACUAGUUGUC
rnacentral:rRNA from 1 species